rnacentral:rRNA from 1 species
AUUGAACGUUGGCGGCAUGCUUUACACAUGCAAGUCGAACGGUAACAGCACUUCGGUGGCUGACGAGUGGCGAACGGGUGAGUAAUACAUCGGAACGUGCCUAGUAGUGGGGGAUAACUACUCGAAAGAGUAGCUAAUACCGCAUGAGAUCUAAGGAUGAAAGCAGGGGACCUUCGGGCCUUGCGCUACUAGAGCGGCUGAUGGCAGAUUAGGUAGUUGGUGGGAUAAAAGCUUACCAAGCCGACGAUCUGUAGCUGGUCUGAGAGGACGACCAGCCACACUGGGACUGAGACACGGCCCAGACUCCUACGGGAGGCAGCGGUGGGGAAUUUUGGACACUGGGCGCAAGCCUGAGCCAGCAAUGCGGCGUGCAGGAUGAAGGCCUUCGGGUUGUAAACUGCUUUUGUACGGAACGAAAAGCCCUCUUCUAAUACAGGAGGGUCAUGACGGUACCGUAAGAAUAAGCACCGGCUAACUACGU